AUUAAAAAUAAUAAAAAGAAUGUGGGGGGGGGGUAAUAAUUAAUAUUUAUUAUAAAAAUUUAUAGUUAAAUAAUAAUUAAUUAUUUACUAUUGUAAAUUAAUUUUUAAAUUAAAAAUUUUAUAUUUAUUUUAAUUUAAUUAUUUUAUUUCUAUUUAAAUUUAAUUCUAAUUUAGGAAUUUAUUAUAAGUUUUAUUUAGUAUAUAAAUAUGUAUAAAUUUUUAUAAUUAAUUUUUAUUUAAAAAAUAAGAUUAAUUAAUUAUGGUAGUAUAUAAUUUUAAUUAAAAAUAAAAAUAAUUUUUGUUUUAGGAAUUUUUAUUAAAAAUUGAAAAAGUUUGUGCCAGCAUUCGCGGUUAGACAAAUUGAUUUUAUUAAAUUAAUUAAAUUUUAAAAUUAUUAGCAUUAAAUUAAUUAUUUUAUUUUUAUUUGUGUAAAAGUUAAAUUAAGGUGAAAUUUUAUUGACUUAAAUUAAUAAAAAUUAAAUUUUAUUUAUAAUAUAUUUUGAAAAUUUUUUUUAAACUAGGAUUAGAUACCCUAUUAUUAAAAUUGUAAAUUUUUUUUUUGUUAAUUUAAAAUAAAUUUAUAUUUAUUUUUUUUAUAAUAAAUUUUAUUUUAUAUGAUGAUUAUAUUAAAAUUUUAUUAGGUAGUAAUAGUUAUGUUCUUGAAACUUUAAGAAUUUGACGGUAAUUUAUUCAUUUUAGAGGAACUUGUUUUUUAAUUGAUAGUCCACGAUAAAAAAAACUUAAAUUUUUAAAUAAAUUACUUGUAUAUCGUCGUUUAAAAAAAAUUUUAUUAGAAUUGAUUUAAUUUUUUUUAUAUUAUUUAGAGUGUGUUUAAUUUUAAAAUAAUAGUAAUUCAGAUCAAGGUGCAGUUUAUAUUUAAGGUAAAAUGAGUUACAAUAAAUUUAAUUUAUUUACGUAGUUAAAAUUUUAAGUUAUUUUAAUUGAAGGUGGAUUUAAAAGUAAAUUUAAAUAAUUAUUUAUUUUGAAAUUGUUUUAAAUUAUGUACAUAUCGCCCGUCACUCUCGUUAUAAAAUGAGAUAAGUCGUAACAAAGUAAAGGUACUGGAAAGUGUUUUUAGAAUUAUUUAAUAUUUUAU
rnacentral:ncRNA from 1 species